GGGAGUACGCCCGCAAGGGUGAAACUCAAAGGAAUUGACGGGGGCCCGCACAAGCGGUGGAGCGUGUGGUUUAAUUGGAUGCUAAGCCAAGAACCUUACCAGGGCUUGACAUGCCGGUGGUACCUCCCCGAAAGGGGUAGGGACCCAGUCCUUCGGGACUGGGAGCCGGCACAGGUGGUGCACGGCCGUCGUCAGCUCGUGCCGUGAGGUGUUGGGUUAAGUCCCGCAACGAGCGCAACCCCUGCCCCUAGUUGCCAGCGGUUCGGCCGGGCACUCUAGGGGGACUGCCGGCGACGAGCCGGAGGAAGGAGGGGAUGACGUUAGGUACUCGUGCCCCUUAUGCCCUGGGCGACACACGCGCUACAAUGGGCGGUACAAUGGGUUGCGACCCCGCGAGGGGGAGCCAAUCCCCAAAGCCGCCCUCAGUUCGGAUCGCAGGCUGCAACCCGCCUGCGUGAAGCCGGAAUCGCUAGUAAUCGCGGAUCAGCCAUGCCGCGGUGAAUACGUUCCCGGGCCUUGUACACACCGCCCGUCACGCCACCCGAGUCGGGGGCUCCCGAAGACACCUGCCCCAACCCGAAAGGGAGGGGGGGUGUCGAGGGAGAACCUGGCGAGGGGGGCGAAGUCGUAACAAGGUA
rnacentral:rRNA from 1 species